rnacentral:rRNA from 1 species
UGGGGAAUAUUGGACAAUGGAGGAAACUCUGAUCCAGCAAUUCUGUGUGUGUGAAGAAGGUUUUAGGACUGUAAAACACUUUUAGUAGGGAAGAAAAAAAUGACGGUACCUACAGAAGAAGCAACGGCCAAAUACGUGCCAGCAGCCGCGGUAAUACGUAUGUUGCGAGCGUUAUCCGGAAUUAUUGGGCUUAAAGGGCAUCUAGGCGGUAAGACAAGUUGAAGGUGAAAACCUGUGGCUCAACCAUAGGCUUGCCUACAAAACUGUUGAACUAGAGUACUGGAAAGGUGGGUGGAACUACACGAGUAGAGGUGAAAUUCGUAGAUAUGUGUAGGAAUGCCGAUGAUGAAGAUAACUCACUGGACAGAAACUGACGCUGAAGUGCGAAAGCUAGGGGAGCAAACAGG